UGGGGAAUUUUUGGACAAUUGGGCGAAAGCCUGAUCCAGCAAUGCCGCGUGUGUGAAGAAGGCCUUCGGGUUGUAAAGCACUUUUGUCCGGAAAGAAAUCCUUGGCUCUAAUACAGUCGGGGGAUGACGGUACCGGAAGAAUAAGCACCGGCUAACUACGUGCCAGCAGCCGCGGUAAUACGUAGGGUGCAAGCGUUAAUCGGAAUUACUGGGCGUAAAGCGUGCGCAGGCGGUUUGCUAAGACCGAUGUGAAAUCCCCGGGCUCAACCUGGGAACUGCAUUGGUGACUGGCAGGCUAGAGUAUGGCAGAGGGGGGUAGAAUUCCACGUGUAGCAGUGAAAUGCGUAGAGAUGUGGAGGAAUACCGAUGGCGAAGGCAGCCCCCAUGGGCCAAUACUGACGCUCAUGCACGAAAGCGUGGGGAGCAAACAGGAUUAGAUACCCUGGUAGUCCACGCCCUAAACGAUGUCAACUAGUUGUUGGGGAUUCAUUUCCUUAGUAACGUAGCUAACGCGUGAAGUUGACCGCCUGGGGAGUACGGUCGCAAGAUUAAAACUUAAAUGAAUUGACGGGGUCAUAGCUGUUUCCU
rnacentral:rRNA from 1 species